UUAAUGAGUUGCACCGUCGCUAUCCAGGCUAUAAAGCUGGGUAGAGGAACUUCCCGACUCUCAGUUCCUGAGUUAACCCCUCAGAAACAAGAUUGCCUCACGAAACAGCAAGUGAGGGCGUCCCGCCAAAAGCGGGGUGACUACAACCGCAACAGAAAGUAAACCAGCCUUUGGCCAAAUUCAGGACACACCCUGCUGAUGGUGAAGGGUAAUGGCUGAAACGGUAGGGUAAGAGCCUACCAGCGGUUUUCGGUAACGAAGCCGGCUAGGCGAGCGUACAAUCGAGAGCAAGGUGAGUGGGCCGGGCUGUUCAAAGUUCGGUCUCAUCGCAGCAACAACGGUGAAGCAGGAUAACACCCUGCAAACCAGGCGUUGCCACCCCAUCAGGGUGAGACAGAUGACGGUACGGCAUAGCCGACAGAAUCGGGGGUACUAAACUCAUUAAAAAA
rnacentral:RNase_P_RNA from 1 species